rnacentral:rRNA from 1 species
CAUGCAAGUCGAACGGACCCUUUGGGGUUAGUGGCGAACGGGUGAGUAACACGUGGGUGAUCUGCCCUGCACUUUGGGAUAAGCCUGGGAAACUGGGUCUAAUACCGGAUAGGACUACGCACUGCAUGGUGUGUGGUGGAAAGCUUUUGCGGUGUGGGAUGGGCCCGCGGCCUAUCAGCUUGUUGGUGGGGUGAUGGCCUACCAAGGCGACGACGGGUAGCCGGCCUGAGAGGGUGACCGGCCACACUGGGACUGAGAUACGGCCCAGACUCCUACGGGAGGCAGCAGUGGGGAAUAUUGCACAAUGGGCGCAAGCCUGAUGCAGCGACGCCGCGUGAGGGAUGACGGCCUUCGGGUUGUAAACCUCUUUCGCCAGGGACGAAGCGCAUGUGACGGUACCUGGAGAAGAAGGACCGGCCAACUACGUGCCAGCAGCCGCGGUAAUACGUAGGGUCCGAGCGUUGUCCGGAAUUACUGGGCGUAAAGAGCUCGUAGGUGGUUUGUCGCGUUGUUCGUGAAAACUCACAGCUUAACUGUGGGCGUGCGGGCGAUACGGGCAGACUGGAGUACUGCAGGGGAGACUGGAAUUCCUGGUGUAGCGGUGGAAUGCGCAGAUAUCAGGAGGAACACCGGUGGCGAAGGCGGGUCUCUGGGCAGUAACUGACGCUGAGGAGCGAAAGCGUGGGGAGCGAACAGGAUUAGAUACCCUGGUAGUCCACGCCGUAAACGGUGGGUACUAGGUGUGGGUUUCCUUCCUUGGGAUCCGUGCCGUAGCUAACGCAUUAAGUACCCCGCCUGGGGAGUACGGCCGCAAGGCUAAAACUCAAAGGAAUUGACGGGGGCCCGCACAAGCGGCGGAGCAUGUGGAUUAAUUCGAUGCAACGCGAAGAACCUUACC